CCCCGUCUCCUCUCCGCGUGGGCUCGGACGCAGCGCCUGAAACCCAUGCAUGGUAGUCUACGCGCCGUCGCUAUGCUCCCCACGCGUCGCCUGCCCUGACGGCCCGAGGAUCCUCACGCCGUCUUGGCUGGACUGUGCAAAGAGAUGACGUUGAACCUUUGGUUGCACGGCGCGGCGGCUCGCCAUGGGACUCGACAGUACGGUGGCCAGUCCCGUGACACCAUGCCUCUCCCACCUCUUUCGGUGGCUUUCUCUGCUGCCCCUGGAGCUCAACGUGGAGGGACUCGCCAUGCAUCGCGCAUCGUUCUGGACGCGGCUGCCCACUACCCUGCAAGUCGACUGUUCCAACGCCCACAAGUGUUCGACGUUAUGUUUGGACAGCUGUAGGUAAAAGAAAAUCAGUUCUAUCCAUAAACCGUGUCAAAGGUUAUAUGCGUGUUCCAUCCCCAGCACAAUUAUUUUUCUUUACAUGCACCUUUUGUGAUAUGUCUGCUUAUGCAAUGAGGCUCGGCCUGCUACUGAUGAUUGCAGUUUGGAAAUAUGUUGAAAGAUAACUUUACUGUCAAGAAGCCCUCCAUAGGAAAUAGGAUGCAGUGUAAAAUGGACUGUGCCUUAACCCUUGUUUGGUAUAAACUUCAUGGAUGAGGCAAUUGAGCUCUACACAACAAGCAUAUUUAAUGCAUCAAGGUUGUUAGGCACAAUUGUUCAUGUAGAACCAUCUGCUAAACUUACUAUGACUUCUUUUCCAGGAUUCUCCAUGGAAUCUUCGAACAGAUCAAUGGAUAAAGCAAAAGAAAAUCCAUACGGGGCUCUGUCAGGCCUGCUGCUUCAGGUCGUCCUCCCCAAGAGUGUGAGAAGAAGCAGCUGCUGCAGAAUGCAUCGCACGCUAUAUACUCAUGGGUCUUCAGGACAGAAAUGGGAGGCUCUUCUACAAGCUCAUGAUCGACAUCGGGGAGCUGCAUAUCCUUAUUUAUAGAGAUAAUUAGAAGUUUGAGAGAAAUUUAGUGUGCUCUGCAUCUAAUUUCAGAGAAAGUACAUCUACUGUAGUAGCAUGCAAGUGGGUUCAUGCCAUUAUACAUAGCACGUUCCAGCUGUUGUAUAUCCUUGCUUUGAGAGACAAUUAGUAGUUUCUGAGAAUAUAUUUCAUAGCACGAGCACAUAGCUAUGAGAGAUUAUUAGAGCAGUAGUUCUACCUACUACCACAUGUAUUUUUUCGUUGAUUGUACAAGUUCACAUGUACAUCUCUGAAUAAAGAAGAACCUUAUUACUGAAGUUAUAGAACAGAGGUGGUGUUGCUCUAUAUGUACAGGCUAUUAUUUGCAUGCUUUGCUGAGUAAGUGCAGUUUAGAAUGAGUUGAAAUCUAAGAGCAGACAGUUGCAUGUUCGACUUCCGUUGUGCAGUACCAUUUCUUACUUCCAAUUAGAAUAGUUGUCGUUCAGUAUUUGCCUAGCUCUAAUACCAUUCUUCACAAAAUACAUACACCUUUUUUAGUGUCUGAAUUUUAUUAUCUGUUGGUGAUCAGUUUUUCCUACUCCAGUUGUUGGAUGUGCUAUCCUCCCUUCUCACUCUCGGGCUCUAGCAGCAAAUGGACGCGCAAGCAUCACAAAGCAGCUCAGCUCCAUCGCCUUCAGUGGUGGCAAGGUCUGUAUGCUCAGCCCAACUCCGAUGCUCUCUGUGCAUUUUAUUUAUACACCAAAAUAUAUUGAAUGGAGGACAAGUUCUACUUUUUGUUAAUGGAGCUAGCUUGAUUGAUUUUUUCAGCAUUAGCUUGAUCAAUCUAAUCCCGGCGGAUGCGCUACUUUUUGUUCAUGCCCACGUGUAUUUGUGUCUGCAAAGGAGCGAGCAUACUAGAGGGAUGGUUGGAAGGGGAGUAAUCUGCUACAAUGUUUUACAUCUUCUAUAGUUAUUUUUUGAAUCUGUGAUAUAAUAUAGGGAAAAGUAUAUUUUUCGUCCCUCAACUCUUUUGAAAGUGGAGAAAUGAUCCCUUAACUUCAAAACCAGCAAAACUUCGUCCCUCUACUUUUAAAACCAGAUAAGUUUAGUCCCUCAUGCUAUUUUAGAUGGUUUUCUUUCGACUUGGUGUGGUAUUAUGAUAUACACUACAGAAAAAAAUUUGUUAGAGCCAGGGAAGGUUGCGCGCUGCCGGCCCCCAUCGCGCUCCCGGUCGCCACUUACGCCGCCUCCUCAUGAGCGCACAAGCAGAGCAGCAGCAGUGUGCGUCCUUCCGUGCCGGCUGCGACAUAUGCCUGUCUGACUGUGCCGAUGGCGAGAUCGUCCGUGUGCUAGCCUGCUCAACGGCGGCAACGCGACUUUUCGGCGAGAGUGAGCUUGCAGCGCUGGCUUGAUGUGGUCCGCUCGUAGUUGAUACUAUUACAUGUCGAUGCAUGUACGUAGCAAAAGCAAAGUAGACAACUAGCUUACGUAUGCACGUUAAUUGAUCUAAGCUGGUUCCUCUCGGGACAAAAGCACCAGCCAGUGUUAGCUCUCAACUCACACUGAUGCAUGUCAAGCAAACAACUUGACGCGCGGCUGGACACUUGCAGCGACAUGCAUGCAGCUGCCGGACUCGACGCGCACGGUCUCCACACAAAAUAGUGAGCUCGUGCCCUGCUAACUGAAUGGGAAGAAAACAAGAAAAAAUCAACCGACUAACUAAUGAUUCAACAGCCAGAAGCGCUUCAGGAAGAGCUUGCUUUAUACACGAGCGAGCUAGUACGAGGCUAGCUUUGUACAGGAGAAUGACCGUCAGUUGGGCGCUACCUCGGCCGGGAGGGAUGGCGUCAUGGCGGACAGCUACCGCGCAGAAUCAAAACCACUGCACGUUGGGUAGAAAACCACCCGAAGCUAUGAGGGACUAAAUUUAUCCGGUUUUAAAAGUUGAGGGACUAAACUUAUCUGGUUUUGAAUGUUGAGGGACUAAGAUUUGCUGAUUUUGCAGUCGAAGGACCAUUUGUAUACUAUCAAAAAAGUUGAGGGAUGAAAAAUAUACUUAUCCCUAUAAUAUAUAAUGCAUUCUAUAGAAACCAAAAUGAUGUUCAUUGGAGCUUCUCUCUUGGUAUGAUUCUUUCAUUCGUUUCUUCUUUGAGGAAACUCCAUACUUGAAAAAUGUCUCUUCAUGGCUUCUUCAAAGUUUUUUCUAUAGUUUUCAGUCUUGGGUGCAUGCAGUUUCUUCAUGUCACGUUUGAAAUUUGGAGCCAUGUAUGUAAGUACAUUCUAAUUGGCAGAGCCUUCCCGGUUUAUGAUACUAAAUGAGGUACUUCUAUAUAUAGGUUUGCACCGUGUCAUUUUUUCCUGUGAUUAAUUGAUCUUCAUAGCAAGAAAAUCCUGUUUGAGGAAUAUUGUGCAUACUCUUGACUUUCAGUGCUUUUUAUGAGAACAGGGUUGUCAAGUAAUUAUUUUUGAAAGAAUUCACAAUGCAAACAAUGAUUUUAGCAAAAAUAUGCAACAGUUUUUCCGAUGUGCUGCCACUUCAGAUGUACCCCCAGCAUCCACACAACGAAGAUCCUAUUAUUGUGUACACAGGAGCAAAACCACCUGACGUGUCCAAGAAUUUGCAAAUGCUUUAUAUCACUUUAUUACAUUAAUCUUGCAGGAGGCUAUACCAGGGUGAUCUAAUUCAGUAAAAAAUAUUUGCGACAUCUUCUUGUAGUAGUACAGUUGUAUGACCAUACACAGCCCUAUGUAGAGUGCACGACACAUGGUU